AGGCGUAUCACUAAUACGCCUUACGAUUAACAACAUCGAAUGAAGUGAAACGGGAUGAGAUGUUGGUCAAGCAACCCAAACGUUGAGUCGGAAAGUAAUCGAAGAGAGGAUUAUUAGUGAUACGCCUGUUGGGUAGGGGAGCGUUSUGUAAGCGGAUGAAGGUGAAUCGAGAGGUUUGCUGGACGUAUCASAAGUGCGAAUGCUGACAUAAGUAACGAUAAAACGAGUGAAAAACUCGUUCGCCGGAAGACCAAGGGUUCCUGUCCAACGUUAAUCGGGGCAGGGUGAGUCGGCCCCUAAGGCGAGGCUGAAAAGCGUAGUCGAUGGGAAACGGGUUAAUAUUCCCGUACUUGUCUUCAUUGCGAUGUGGGGACGGAGAAGGUUAGGUUAGCAGACUGUUGGAUGUCUGUUUAAGUUGGUAGGUGGGGAGCUUAGGCAAAUCCGGGCUCCUAUUAACACUGAGAGAUGAUGACGAGUUUCUACGGAAAUGAAGUAACUGAUACCACGCUUCCAGGAAAAGCCACUAAGCUUCAGAUGAAGAUAAACCGUACUGAAAACCGACACAGGUGGUCAGGUAGAGAAUACUCAGGCGCUUGAGAGAACUCGGGUGAAGGAACU
rnacentral:rRNA from 1 species